rfam:Medicago truncatula strain A17 unplaced genomic scaffold scaffold0019, whole genome shotgun sequence.
AUGAAAUGUGACAUGCCCGUUGGGUUUUCUCUGAUAUAGGAUUAUUAUUACUAUUUAAUUGAUUUUGGGAAACGGGGUGUUACACUUUG